rnacentral:rRNA from 1 species
AAUGAACGUUGGCGGCGUGGAUUAGGCAUGCAAGUCGAGCGAGAACCGUAGCAAUACGGGGACAGCGGCGCAAGGGACAGUAAUGUGUAGAUCAUCUGCCCUCAGGACCGGGAUAGCUGCGGGAAACUGCAGGUAAUACCGGAUAACAUCUCCGGAUCAAAGGUGUGAUUCCGCCUGAGGAUGAGUCUACAUCCUAUUAGCUAGUUGGUAGGGUAACGGCCUACCAAGGCGAUGAUGGGUAGCGGGUGUGAGAGCACGACCCGCGUCAUUGGGACUGAGACACUGCCCAGACACCUACGGGUGGCUGCAGUCGAGAAUCUUCGGCAAUGGGCGCAAGCCUGACCGAGCGACGCCGCGUGU